AGCUCCAAUAGCGUAUAUUAAAGUUGCUGCAGUUAAAAAGCUCGUAGUUGCAUUUCCGAGGCAAGGGAUUAGUCCGACCUUUGGUGGGUAUUUAAUCCUCUUGCCUCGUCCUUGAGUGGUGCUUCUUGGUAUUAAGUUAUCGAGGAGAUAGCCGCUCAUCGUUUACUGUGAGAAAAUUAGAGUGUUCAAAGCAGGCUUAUGCCGUUGAAUAUAUUAGCAUGGAAUAAUAAGAUAGGACCUCGGUACUAUUUGGUGGGUUUGAGAACCAAGGUAAUGAUGAAUAGGGACAGUUGGGGGUAUUCGUAUUCAGUUGUCAGAGGUGAAAUUCUUAGAUUUACGGAAGACGAACUACUGCGAAAGCAUUUACCAAGGAUGUUUUCA
rnacentral:rRNA from 1 species